GGGAAAUACACAACCAAACAAGCCCUUAUCACAAUUCUAUUCCACAGUAUAUCUCUUUCCCAAUUCUAUGGACCAUUCAUACAUUACAAUCCACUACAUUCUGAGUCCUCUUGAGAGCCUUCUCCAAAGGCCAAUUCAGAGUAACUACCUAUGUACGCCCGCCAACAUAGAGUUUUUUUAUCUUCUAAUGUUUUCCCUCAUAUUGUCUUGUAGCAAUAAUGACAUAGCUACCCAGCUCUUUCUUCUCGCUCAAUUUCUGUGAUUAUCCAACACUAUUUCUUCGUCAUUACUGAUUAGCAUAGAAAAUGAGCACAUUGGAUGCAACAAGGGCAGAACUUGGC
rnacentral:lncRNA from 1 species